rnacentral:rRNA from 1 species
UACAGAGGUCUCAAGCGUUGUUCGGAUUCAUUGGGCGUAAAGGGUGCGUAGGCGGCGAGGUAAGUCAGAUGUGAAAUCCCGGGGCUUAACCCCGGAACUGCAUUUGAUACUGCUUUGCUUGAGGACUGGAGAGGAGAUCGGAAUUCACGGUGUAGCAGUGAAAUGCGUAGAUAUCGUGAGGAACACCUGCGGUGUAGACGGCUUACUGGACGGUAACUGACGCUGAGGCACGAAAGCGUGGGUAGCAAACAGG